rnacentral:lncRNA from 1 species
CUGGACGAAAAAGGGCCUCGGAAGAAAGAGUCUAGACGAAGUCGACGCGGUUUCCUAGCGGCUUAAAGGGAGUGGCUGUAUUGUCUCAGGGAAAAAGAGUGGAAGCGUGGUGUUCUAAGAAAUGGACAAUAACGAUCUGAAGACGUAUGAAUAUGAAAUCUGCUCUUUAGAGAAUGAAAUUAAGAAGUUAACAGAAGAGUAUGAACGCAGGCAACAUGAGGCAAUGGCUUAUUCUGAUGGGGAGAUAAUGAAGACAGUGAAAUCAUUGAAAAGAAAAUCCCCAGAAGAACCAAAGCAAUGUGACUCUUUUCCAGCCUUGAAACAUCAGCUUGAUUUAUUGGAGUCUGAUCUCUCAUUCAUAAUGAAAUUUACAGGCAUUUGUCUUACACAUUAUACUAGAAAACUUGUGGAGCAAAUAAAAUGAUGGGUUGGCAAAUCUAUGGAAGACUCAGUGUGCUCAGUGUCUGCUAGUUGUGGUUGCUGUGUAUUUCCUCCAGUGUGAAAGCUGCUGGAGAAGACAUAAGGAAGAGUGUUGUUUGAGUCCUGGUUUCCUUAUAAGCUUCCUG